GGCAAGGAGGUUAUCACCCAGACCGUUAUCGCAGAAAUCAAGUAUGUGAGCAGCUAUGGGGCUUGAGAUCCCCUCCUGUAAAUUUCGAAGGUGAGAAAACAUGUGAGUACAUUUUACCACACAAAUUUCAUUCUAAUAAGAAAUAUUGUGAUAACAUCAUUCUGUAUCAGUAAAGUCAUGUAUGUUCUUUGAGUACUAAGGUUGACAAGCAUACAUGACGUUAUGGCGUAAAUAUUGUUUAUGUAGUUAACCGAGAAAGCAGUACUAUUUGUAAAAUAACGAAAAGAAUAAAGAGAGGAUCAAAGACUGUAUCAUAUAUGCCCAUCUGCCCUCUUCCGGAUAUAGUUACUGUUCUGUUUGAAGAGAAAUCAUCAAAGAAUAUUGUGAGCAAAAGCAACUCAAAAGUGUGGACAUAAAAGGUUGUGAAGAUUAAGAUGAAAUUUUAUUCUAAAAAAUAAAGAAUAAGAAGGAAGAUCUAAGAAACAGAAACACUGGGAUUUUGGUAAUUAUAUUCUGGUACUUCCUCAGGUUCAGAAUUGAAAGAUUUCAUCCCGAUUUGGUGCUUUUGAAUGCUGAUUUCUGCAAUGAAAGAUUCCACCUAAGAUUAUUGUAUCGUACAUGCAGUUAUUCACCUAAGAUGGCCAUUGAGUUAUCACCCAAGGAACAAGCAUCGACAAGGUACCAGGAAGAUGACAUCAUGAAACAUUUUCAGAGCAAUUGAAAAUGCUUGGUUUUUGUCCUGGAGCAUGUUUCUACA
rnacentral:lncRNA from 1 species